GACGUAGGGCGCGAGCGUUGUCCGGAUUUAUUGGGCGUAAAGAGCUCGUAGGCGGCUUGUCGCGUCGGGAGUGAAAUCCACUGGCUUAACUGGUGGCUUGCUUUCGAUACGGGCAGACUGGAGGCAUGCAGGGGAGAACGGAAUUCCUGGUGUAGCGGUGAAAUGCGUAGAUAUCAGGAGGAACACCCAUGGCGAAGGCAGCUCCCUGGCUCGACCUGACGCUGAGGCGCGAAAGCGUGGGGAGCGAACGGG
rnacentral:rRNA from 1 species